AUUGAACGCUGGCGGCAGGCCUAACACAUGCAAGUCGAACGAGUGGCGGACGGGUGAGUAAUGUCUGGGAAACUGCCCGAUGGAGGGGGAUAACUACUGGAAACGGUCGCUAAUACCGCAUACCAUCGGAUGUGCCCAGAUGGGAUUAGCUCGUAGGUGGGGUAACGGCUCACCUAGGCGACGAUCCCUAGCUGGUCUGAUAGGAUGACCAUCCACACUGGAACUUAGACACGGUCCAGACUCCUACGCGAGUCAGCAGUGGGGAAUAUUGCACAAUGGGCGCAAGCCUGAUGCAGCCCGGCCGCGUGUAUGAAGAAGGCCUUCGGGUUGUAAAGUACUUUCAGCGAGGAGGCGUUACUCGCAGAAGAAGCAUCGGCUAACGCCGUGCCAGCAGCCGCGGUAAUUC
rnacentral:rRNA from 1 species